rnacentral:rRNA from 1 species
UACAGAGGGUGCAAGCGUUAUUCGGAGUUACUGGGCGUAAAGGGCGCGUAGGUGGUUGUGUAAGUUGGAUGUGAAAUCCCUGGGCUUAACCUAGGAACUGCAUACAAAACUGCAUAGCUAGAGUACUGUAGAGGGUAGUGGAAUUUCCGGUGUAGCGGUGAAAUGCGUAGAGAUCGGAAGGAACACCAGUGGCGAAGGCGGCUACCUGGACAGAUACUGACACUGAGGCGCGAGAGCGUGGGGAGCAAACAGG